AAGGAAAAUCAUAACUGCAAAUAGCGUAUAAGAGAGAAGGGUAAAGCCCUAGCCAACUAUCUUUCCUUUGUGGUGUCAGGUUUGAGAAUACGCUCUUUUGUUUUCAAUUGAAGAAGAAGGGGCUAUUACUUUCUCGUAUCUGCUCCUUCUAUCAUUGGGGUGGUGGUAUCCAUCGAUAAGAAAGGCUCGACGAAGUGAGAAGACGUCGGAUGAAAGGAGAAGGCAGCGGCCCAGAGACGAGGUUCUGUAGGGACGUAGCGAGUUGAUCUUAAUAAACAAUAUUAUUUCAUAAUCGGGGAAGCGCCCAACGGGAUAAGAGCUGAAGGCUGACACGGGGUCGAUCUAAUUUCAACUAAUCAUUUUCGCCGGCAAGGAAGACUGAUCGGGCAGGCAUAGGUGCAACUAGUCCAUAUACGAUUCAAUAUGUCUCACUAGCACACUUUCUUAGCCAUAAGCAUAAGGAGGAGUAUAAAGACUAGUAUCCCGUCCGGAUACAUACCUAUGACCAUGAGCGGGAGAAGCAGGGGCGGGGGCACCAGUAGAUCGGACCCAUAGCCUACAGCAGCAUAGGUAGCGGCAUCAGUACCAGCAGCAUCAUAGGCAUCAUCUUAGCCGGAUCGAUAGGCAGAUUCCUUAGUGAUCUAGAGCCAUACAAGCAUCCUUUCGCCCAACUCCAUACGUAGAUUCACUAGUGACCUUAGCUUGGUUCCACAAGUCCAGGUGCAGAUUUUCUAGUGACAGAAGCAAGGUUAU
rnacentral:RNase_P_RNA from 1 species